GAAUUUUGCGCAAUGGGGGAAACCCUGACGCAGCAACGCCGCGUGAGUGAUGAAGGCUUUCGGGUCGUAAAGCUCUGUCAGAAGGGAAGAAAUGUGGGUGGCUAAUAUCCAUACCACUUGACGGUACCUUCAAAGGAAGCACCGGCUAACUCCGUGCCAGCCGCACCGGUAAUACGGAGGGUGCGAGCGUUGUUCGGAAUUAUUGGGCGUAAAGCGCGUGUAGGCGGUCUUUUAAGUCUGAUGUGAAAGCCCUGGGCUCAACCCAGGAAGUGCACUGGAAACUGGGAGACUUGAAUACGGGAGAGGGUAGUGGAAUUCCUAGUGUAGGAGUGAAAUCCGUAGAUAUUAGGAGGGACACCGGUGGCGAAGGCGGCUACCUGGACCGAUAUUGACGCUGAGACGCGAAAGCGUGGGGAGCAAACAGG
rnacentral:rRNA from 1 species